rnacentral:misc_RNA from 1 species
AACGCACAUUGCGCCCCUUGGUAUUCCAUGGGGCAUGCCUGUUCGAGCGUCAUUUGUACCCUCAAGCUCUGCUUGGUGUUGGGUGUUUGUCCCGCGGUUCUGCGUGGACUCACCUUAAAACAAUUGGCAGCCGGCAUGAUAGUCUGGAGCGCAGCACAUUUUGCGCACCUUGCUAGUCUAUGUUGGCACCCAUCAAGCCCAUUUAUUUGCUCUUGACCUCGGAUCAGGUAGGGAUACCCGCUGAACUUAA